GUGCUCGCUUUGGGAGCACCUACACUAAAAUUGAAACGAUACAGAGAAGAUUAGCAUGGCCCCUACUCCAGGAUGACGCGCAAAUUCGUGAAGCGGUCCAUGUUUUU
ensembl:snRNA U6 U6 spliceosomal RNA